CUUCACUCUGACCAUCAGCGGAGUCCAGACUGAAGAUGCUGCAGUUUACUACUGUCAGAGUGCUCAUUACAUCAAUGGUCCGUGGUUGUUCACACAGUGAAAAAGCGUCGUACAAAAACCUCCCUCAGUCAGACUGAACAGAAACUGAACUGACUGCUGCAGCUGGAAGCUACUGCAGAGACUGAUACACUUCACUGAGGACACACACACACACACACACACACACACACACACACACACACACACACACACACACACACACAAACUAAACAGUCUGCAGGAGAACAGUGGAAAUGAAUCUGUAUAUGGUACUGAACUGAUUAAGGGAAUAGACACUUUUCAUGGCAGACAUUUUGACUUGCCAAAGCAGGAAAAGCACAGGUGUAUUUAAUUACAUUAAUGAUGGCUUCAUUACAUUUAGGUGAGCCAGUCUCAGAGCUCUGGUACUGUGCAUGCUCACUCACUGAAAGGCCUUACUGGGACACUGAAUGAAAUUGGGCCAGUGUUAAUGUUAUUAUUAAACCUGUGAAUGACCUGCUUUGAUCACUCAAAAUGUCUGCUGUGAAAAGGGUCUAUUUGGAAAGGUGAGUGAGUGGGCAGGGAAGAUCUGAUGGUGCAAAGGGCGGAGUGAGAGUUACUGCAGGACAGGAGAGAGUGGCUGGAUCUGGAAUGACAGGAGAGUAAGUAGAAUCAGAAUCAGAAUCAGAAUUGGGUUUAUUGCCAAGUAAGUUUUUACACAAACAAGAAAUUUGUCUUGGUGCAUUGGUGCAUAAAAAUCACACAAAAAAUAAGUACUUUUUAAAAUAUAAAUAAAUAAAGAUAAGGAUGAAGAUAGAAAGAUCUAGAAGUAACCGAGCAAUGCAACAGAAAUAAUGUUAUAAUCUAACUGAAAGAAUAAACUAGAAUCUUGUUUUAUUUGUUGAAACAUCCUUCUUUCAAAUUGGAUCAGAAUCAGAAUCAGAAAUACUUUAAUAAUAAUGUGGGAAAGGCCACCCAUCCCCUGAAACAGAUUUAACAAACAGAAAACUUCAAUGAGGGAGAAAAUAUUUUAUUAUCCUUUGGAAGACAUGUUUAGGAAUAUUCUGAUUCUAUUCAUUUCACACCAAUAACUGUAUGUAUGGUAUCAAAUCAGAACAUGCAAAAUGCACCUUGGUGAUAAAGACUAUUGAGUUCAAUAUAAUUUAACAGAAUAAUAUCCACCCUUACUGCUUUAUGAAAACCAGUUGCUGUUCUCAAUCACAGGUCAAACCCAUCAUAUUAUAGAUCAUUUAAAUAGUCAAUGCUCUCAGCACUGAGGGGGAAACACCAUGAUAUGUUGAGGACAGCUACAGUUCACUGACUCUGUGUGUUUGCAUAUGUGUCCUUCCUCUCUGCUCCCAGCCGUUAAGAGGCCAGUGUUGAUCAGUGGCUGUCCAGGCCUUUCAGAGCCACUGACACGCCGGCAGCACAAUGAGGAUGUCACUGACUCUACUGCUGGCCACCCUGGGGCUCCUUGUUCAGGAUUCAUCAGGAGAAGUCAUUGUGACUCAGUCUCCUAAAGCUCAGUCUGUUGUUCCAGGACAGACUGUCUCUAUCAGAUGUAACGUUAGUCCAAGCACUGGUUACUGCUUCAGCUGGUACCUUCAGAAACCUGGAGAAUCUCCUAAACUCCUAAUUACUUGUGGUUCAACCCGUCAGUCUGGAGUUUCAGAUCGUUUCAGUGGGAGCGGAUCUGGUAGUGAUUACACUCUGACCAUCAGUGGAGUCCAGACUGAAGAUGCAGCAGUUUACUACUGUCAGAGUGCUCAUUACAUCAACAGUCAGUAUGUGUUCACACAGUGAAAAAGCGUCGUACAAAAAC